rnacentral:rRNA from 1 species
GACGAACGCUGGCGGCGUGCCUAAUACAUGCAAGUAGAACGCUGAAGAGAGGAGCUUGCUCUUCUUGGAUGAGUUGCGAACGGGUGAGUAACGCGUAGGUAACCUGCCUUGUAGCGGGGGAUAACUAUUGGAAACGAUAGCUAAUACCGCAUAACAAUGGAUGACACAUGUCAUUUAUUUGAAAGGGGCAAUUGCUCCACUACAAGAUGGACCUGCGUUGUAUUAGCUAGUAGGUGAGGUAAUGGCUCACCUAGGCGACGAUACAUAGCCGACCUGAGAGGGUGAUCGGCCACACUGGGACUGGGACACGGCCCAGACUCCUACGGGAGGCAGCAGUAGGGAAUCUUCGGCAAUGGGGGCAACCCUGACCGAGCAACGCCGCGUGAGUGAAGAAGGUUGUCGGAUCGGAAAGCUCGGUUGUAAGUCAAGAACGGGUGUGAGAGUGGAAAGUUCACACUGUGACGGUAGCUUACCAGAAAGGGACGGCUAACUACGUG